AUUGAACGCUGGCGGCAUGCUUUACACAUGCAAGUCGAACGGUAACAGGCCUUCGGGUGCUGACGAGUGGCGAACGGGUGAGUAAUGCAUCGGAACGUGCCCAAUCGUGGGGGAUAACGUAGCGAAAGUUACGCUAAUACCGCAUAAGCCCUGAGGGGGAAAGCAGGGGAUCGCAAGACCUUGCGCGAAUGGAGCGGCCGAUGUCAGAUUAGCUAGUUGGUGGGGUAAAGGCCUACCAAGGCGGUGAUGGGUAGCGGGUGUGAGAGCACGAUCCGCCUCACUGGGACUGAGACACUGCCCAGACACCUACGGGUGGCUGCAGUCGAGAAUCUUCGGCAAUGGGGGAAACCCUGACCGAGCGACGCCGCGUGCGGGAUGAAGGCCCUCGGGUUGUAAACCGCUGUCGUAAGGGAACAAAUCUAUGAGGGUACUCCCUUGUAGUUGAGUGAUCUUAGGAGGAAGGACGGGCUAAGUUCGUGCCAGCAGCCGCGGUAAUGUAGU
rnacentral:rRNA from 1 species